UGGAAACCAACACAGAUAUGACCCUUGUC
rnacentral:piRNA from 1 species